rnacentral:rRNA from 1 species
UACGGAGGGUGCAAGCGUUAUCCGGAUUCACUGGGUUUAAAGGGUGCGUAGGUGGGCAGGUAAGUCAGUGGUGAAAUCUCCGGGCUUAACCCGGAACUGCCGUUGAUACUAUUUGUCUUGAAUAUAGUGGAGGUGAGCGGAAUAUGUCAUGUAGCGGUGAAAUGCUUAGAUAUGACAUAGAACAUCGAUUGCGAAGGCAGCUCGCUACACUAUUAUUGACCACUGAGGCACGAAAGCGUGGGGAUCAAACAGG